rnacentral:rRNA from 1 species
UGGGGAAUAUUGGACAAUGGGCGCAAGCCUGAUCCAGCAAUGCCGCGUGGGUGAAGAAGGUCUUCGGAUUGUAAAGCCCUUUCGGCGGGGACGAUGGUGACGGUACCCGCAGAAGAAGCCCCGGCUAACUUCGUGCCAGCAGCCGCGGUAAUACGAAGGGGGCGAGCGUUGCUCGGAAUGACUGGGCGUAAAGGGCGCGUAGGCGGACCUCGCAGUCGGGCGUGAAAUCCCCGGGCUCAACCCGGGACGUGCGCCCGAGACGCGUGGUCUGGAGUGGGGGAGAGGGUCGCGGAAUUCCCAGUGUAGAGGUGAAAUUCGUAGAUAUUGGGAAGAACACCGGUGGCGAAGGCGGCGACCUGGCCCUUGACUGACGCUGAGGCGCGACAGCGUGGGGAGCAAACAGG